rnacentral:rRNA from 1 species
GACGAACGCUGGUGGCGUGCUUAACACAUGCAAGUCGAACGGGAUUUAGUAAACAGAAGCCUCGGUGGAAGAUUACUAAUGAGAGUGGCGAACGGGUGAGUAACGCGUGAGCAACCUGCCUAUGACAGUGGGAUAGCCUCGGGAAACCGGGAUUAAUACCGCAUAAAAUCGUAGAAACACAUGUUUUAACGGUAAAAGAUUUAUCGGUCAUAGAUGGGCUCGCGUCUGAUUAGCUAGUUGGUGAGAUAACAGCCCACCAAGGCGACGAUCAGUAGCCGGUCUGAGAGGAUGAACGGCCACAUUGGAACUGAGACACGGUCCAAACUCCUACGGGAGGCAGCAGUGGGGAAUAUUGCACAAUGGGGGAAACCCUGAUGCAGCGACGCCGCGUGAACGAAGAAGGUAUUCGUAUCGUAAAGUUCUGUCCUAUGGGAAGAUAAUGACAGUACCAUAGAAGAAAGCUCCGGCUAAAUACGUG